rnacentral:siRNA from 1 species
ACUCGGUGGACAAAGCCUUUACCC